UUGUGGUCGGUGUACAGGUGGUGCAUGGCUGUCGUCAGCUCGUGUCGUGAGAUGUUGGGUUAACGUCCCGCAACGAGCGCAACCCUUGUCUUAUGUUGCCAGCACGUAAUGGUGGGGACUCGUAAGAGACUGCCGGGGUCAACUCGGAGGAAGGUGGGGACGACGUCAAGUCAUCAUGCCCCUUAUGUCCAGGGCUUCACACAUGCUACAAUGGCCAGUACAGAGGGCUGCGAGACCGUGAGGUGGAGCGAAUCCCUUAAAGCUGGUCUCAGUUCGGAUCGGGGUCUGCAACUCGACCCCGUGAAGUCGGAGUCGCUAGUAAUCGCAGAUCAGCAACGCUGCGGUGAAUACGGUUCCCGGGCCUU
rnacentral:rRNA from 1 species